GGAGGUGUGGCUCAGUGGCACAGUGCUUGUCUAACAGGCGAGAAGCCCUGGGUUCAAUCCCCAACACUGCAA
rnacentral:tRNA from 1 species